CCGAUGUGGUUUGUUUACACUGCGGUGGCGCACCAGCUGAUCCUCACACCGUCUCCCCUGCCGCGCUGGGGAAUCACUGGAGCUACCACGGGAAAAAGACCUCACACUGUCCCGGGGAAAAACCUAUUGACAAGGCUGACAGCGCCGCAGGGUAUUGGAUUAUUCGAGGUGCCGAUGAGCAGAGUAACUUCUAAUACAACAUGGCAUCACGCCUUUUUCCACACUAUAAGCCAAGCUCUAAAAGUGCGGCAGACAUCGUGGAAUGUAUUUAUUUUGGUGACGAGUGAUGAUCCUACCUUCCUUAUGGCCUUCGCAAAAUGGUCUGUUCGGGCUCGGCUACUGGUGUGGUCAACGAGGCUUCUGGUUUAUACUAAUAACCAUUUGCAGGGAAUGCAAGAGCUACACAAGAUUCUGUCGCUGACAAAUUCUAUUUUGUUGCUUUCAGAAAACACAACGCAAAUGGAACGAGUGCAGAUGUUCAGCGUUGUGCCAUACAGUAAUCCCCAGCGCAGGCCUCUACUCGUCGCUUCCUGGGCACCACAGAGAGGGUUGGUCCUAGAGUCAACCCACACUCUCUUUCCGGAGAAAUUUGAAAAGUUCAAUUCACUUGUUGAAGCAUCUGUAACCAUGACGGAAGAUGCGACACAUGAAGCUGUGAUGGAGGAAGAUCCUAAGAAAGUUGGACACCAGCGACUUGUUUUCAAAGGUUACAUGGUGACCGUUCUUGAUUUCAUAGCGCAAGGACAAAAUUUUUCGUACACCUUUAGGAAAUCUCCUGAUGGCACUUAUGGCGUUAAAGGCAAGGAUGGCACUUGGACUGGCAUGGUGGGUCAAGUGUACAGAGAGGAGGCCGAUCUCGGCCUAGGACCUUUCACGCUGACGGAGGAACGAGCUGGUUCAGUAGACUACACAUGGCCGGUGAAAGUCUCUCAGUUAAGAUACUGGCUGGUCAGAGGCAACUGAAGGUCGAUCCUUGGAGCUUCUUGCUCCCCUUUGCCCCUUCUGUAUGGAUCGUUACCCUUGUUUUUCUUUUAUUUGUACCCAACGUGAUGGUGAUUCUUUCAUCCUUUACUUUCGGGAAAAUACCAAAGCAUGAUGAAUGGACAAGACAAAAUCUGGAUUUCCUGAGCAUAGUACUACAGGAGAGUGCAGAUCUGCAGUCAACUGGACUCUUGUGGGAGAGAGUUGUGGUUGGGGUAUGGCUGCUGAUGACUCUCGUGCUCACCAAGAGCUACGAGGGAAACUUAAUGUCUCAGCUGGCGGUGAGGCAUAUCCCACAACCCUACCAAAGCCUUAGAGAUGUCCUCGACGAUCCCACCACCACAAUGAUCUGGCAGAAAGGAAGCUCACAUUUGGAGCUUAU